GUCGAGAAUCUUUCACAAUGGGGGCAACCCUGAUGGAGCGACGCCGCGUGGAGGAUAAGGUCUUCGGAUUGUAAACUCCUGUCAUGCGUGAACAAGGUUGCUUGGUUAAUACCUGGGCAAAUUGAUGGUAACGCAAGAGGAAGAGACGGCUAACUCUGUGCCAGCAGCCGCGGUAAUACAGAGGUCUCAAGCGUUGUUCGGAAUCACUGGGCGUACAGGGUGCGUAGGUGGCGUGGUAAGUCAGAUGUGAAAACCCGGGGCUCAACCUCGGAACUGCAUCCGAUACUGCCAUGCUAGAGUACUGGAGAGGUGACUAGAAUUCUCGGUGUAGCAGUGAAAUGCGUAGAUAUCGAGAGGAAUACCAAAGGCGUAGGCAGGUCACUGGACAGUUACUGACACUGAGGCACGAAGGCCAGGGGAGCGAACGGGAUUAGAAACCCCGGUAGUCC
rnacentral:rRNA from 1 species